CCGAUCGGGAGAUCGAGGCGAUCAACGCAAACAUCGCGGACGUGAAGCAACAUCUGAACGAGUCGGCGAAGGCCGUUGAGGCGUCCGAGAAGCAACUGCAGGAAACCAGUGCAAACGUCAAGUUUGCCAACAUCGACGUCGAGGAGCUGAGCAAGAAGACCGAGAGCUGAAGCAGUUGGCGAACUAACUGCGUGAGAAUGCCACCAAACUGCAGGAAGGCAACAUCGAGGGUGCGCUGAACCCGACGCGUGACGCCUGGAAUCGCGUCACCCAGCUGGGUGAGACCAUCAUGGCGAUCCAGAAGCUGAACGACAACGCCGAGCGGCAGUGCAAGUGAACGGAGGUGCUGCUGAAGAAGAACCAGGAGAACAUCGAGAAUGAUAAUCAAGACGGCGAACACGGUAACGCCGGAGAAGAUCCGCGGGCUUGCGGAACAGAUCCAGCAGUACACGCUGCAGUUGCAGUCAAACGCUGGCCGAGCAGUGCGACGAGGUGGUGUCGCCCCUGGAGUCGAUUAUCCGGAACACCAAGCACGAUCUGGAUUGGGUGGAGCAGCAUGAUUAUGCGCCAAGAACCGUGCCGAGAAGGUGUUGGAGGACGCUUUGGAUGUAAAAAGCGCUCUGGGUGACGCUAAAGAAGCGCAGAAGAAGGCAAGACAGUCGAUCAAGCGCCCCAACGAGGACAUUUAGUCGGCUAAGAUUGAUCUUGAAGAGAUUGACAAGGAAACGGACGACGCGUACAACCGGGCCAACGUGACCGCCGGCAAGGUGGACGUGCUGAAGACGCGCCUCAGCAAGCUGCACGUGAGCAACGUGCAGAACCAGCAGGACGCCGAGAAGAUCAUCAAGCAGGCGGAAAUGGUCAAGGAGUCGGCCAACAAUGCGUAUGUACUAAGACUCGGAAUAUCGUUACAGCUGAAGGAUACGUACAAAACGGCGGUAGCGACGCUGACCGACUGACCGCUGACAGGGCCUGACUGAGCAGAGCAACACGCACCUCAACAAGAUCUAGAGUGACGCCGACGGUACCGCCAGUGCACGACGUGAAACGUCGAACGGUAAAAAGGAAAUAAAGCGCAAUGCAACGCAAGCCUUGAUGACCAAAAUCUUCAGCAACA